rnacentral:rRNA from 1 species
AUGGAGGGCUACUUGCAGUCAUAUGCAUCCCUCUGCGGCCUUGCACUUAUUGUUGCAGGGUGGCUGGUGCACUGGGUGUACAAGUGGAACAAUCCUCCGUGCAACAUUGGGAGGCUUCCUCCUGGAUCCAUGGGCUUCCCUCUCGUUGGCGAGUCCUUACAGUUCAUGAGGCCAAGCCCUUCUCUCGACAUCUCAGGCUUCUACAAGCAAAGGCUGAAAAGGUACGGCACGUUGUUCAAGACGAACCUGGUUGGACACCCGGUGGUGGUGUCCAUGGGCGCGGACGUGAACCGCUUCAUCUUCCAGCAGGAAGGCAAGCUGUUCCGGAGCUGGUACCCGGACACGGCCAACAGCAUCUUCGGAAAGGACAGCAUGGCCAACUGCGACGGCUCCGUCCACAAGUACGUCCGCAGCUUCGCGGCCAGGCUCUUCGGCCCCGACAGCCUCCGGGACGUGCUCCUCGCUGAGAUAGGGCGCAGCGUGACGCAGAACCUUGCUGCAUGGGCCGCGGAGCCUGUCAUCGAGGUCAAGGACGCCAUGGCCACGAUGAUAUUUGACCACACGGCCAAGAAGCUUAUUGGUUUUGGCCCCGAAAAGUCAAGGAAACUUAGGAAGAACUUUGAUGCCUUCUUCCAGGGAAUGGUUUCCUUCCCGCUGUAUUUUCCUAUUCUACGGAUGUAUACAGGGAAGGAAAAACGUGCAAAAGGUACUCACGGACCUACUAAAAGAAAGGCUCAGUACACCUCAGAAGCGACACGGUGA